GUCCAAGUGUCGUUCGGAUCGUCGAUCACUCGGUGCUCGAGAAAUUCAAUCAUAGCAUCUUUUUCCUUGAGCUGCUGCAGCAAUUCCUCCCUUUCACGGAUCCAGGCACGCGAAAGGUCUUCUUCUCUUAACUCCUCUACACGUUGGGUAGGGAGGGUUGAAGGCCCAGCCACAUCCAACGGUGUAGGUCUUGGAUGAUCAUACGGCAUCAGGUAGGUGGCAGCCCUCUGUCUGACCCAAGAGGUGUAGGGCUC
rnacentral:lncRNA from 1 species